GGUGGGUUUCUCUGUGAGUGUGGUGCUCUCCGUCAGAACCGCUCCGUUGUAGUUGUUACAGAUGUCCUCAUCCGAGUAGUGAAGACCGCCUGGACUUGGUCUGGGAGGUGACCUAGACGCGGAACCCGUGAAAAUGAGAAGAAAAGUGUUCUUGGUGUUGGUGAGCGCUCUGCUGUUGAGCUCCAAUGUGGUGAAACCGCCGUUGUCCAGGGUGACAGAUUCCUCCAUAGAAGACAUGUGCUUUCCUGAACGACCACAAGAGGGCGACAGAUGGAAUUCGAAUGAGAUGCUUGAGGGCAGUAUUCAUUCUUGAAGCCUGCAGGAGGAAGAACAAAGAUGACCUUGUUUUGCUCUCCGGUGCACGUCUCGGGCUGCUCCAGGGAAUGUUACUUUUUAAGUGGAGUCUACUUUUUGCAGGAAUACAAGCAAAUUUAUUUUAUUUUUUUUAAUAAAUGCAUUUUGUCUCCAAUGUCGUCCUUGUUAUGCGUUAGCAGAAUGCGUGCCAGUGUCAUGACUGAAGGGCUAAACUUUCCAAACUGAAGUACAAAUACCUCAGUAGAUUUUUCAAUUAUCUGUGCUGUUCUUAAUUUCUCCCAAGUCUUUCUAUUUUUACUAUUUAAAAAAAAAUACAUACAAUAGUACUUUGACUUACAGAAUCAGCUUCAUUUGUCUCUGUACCUGGAAUUUUUAUUUAUUUAUUUUUUGCUUGAAUUUGAUGUUACCUG